GGAUGAUUAGCUCAGUUGGUAGAGCGUGCGACUGUUAAUCGCGAGGUUCGAACCACAAGAUAAGUAUAUAAAUUAAUAAUUUUUCA
rnacentral:tRNA from 1 species